AACGUAUACACUCAACAACAUCACAAUAAAUAAUAGAAACGUGCAGUCGUUUGAGAACCCCGACACACUAGCCAAGAGACCAUGCAAACAUUACCCGACGGAAAAUUAUAAUAAUCAUGACAAAGGUUGUGUCGCCGCAUCCAGCCCGCUAGGAGGACUCCGCCACGUGACGUGUCGACACCAAUUAGACUACGAAACGGUGGCGGCAAAUCGUUCCAGCACUUGGAUGCGGCGAACCUGAAACUGCCACGGAAAGCGGUGGUGCGGUGACGAGGUACUGCGAGUGAGUAGUACGACGCACGGAUCCUGGCAGCAGUCACGUCGCGGGACCAAACUAGUUUGUCCGCAAGAUAUGGCGGUAAUUUAAAAUUAACUAUUCCGAACAUCAGCGUUGCAAAAUGAAACUGUCUGCGAUAUUUCAUUUUUAGGAUUCUAGCCUUGUUUAUGUAAGGUGUUACGUGUGUGCGGGGAGGAAUUUUGAAGCAGAAUCUAGCGCAAGCAUUUUGUACUCUCUGAACCAGGUUUUGUGAGCGAGCCAGAAGCCGAGGCCCAUACACAGCGUCCAUAUAAUUAAACUUAGAGAGAAUUAAAGA